rnacentral:rRNA from 1 species
UACGAAGGGGGCUAGCGUUGCUCGGAAUCACUGGGCGUAAAGCGCACGUAGGCGGCUUACUAAGUCAGGGGUGAAAUCCUGGGGCUCAACUCCAGAACUGCCUUUGAUACUGGUGAGCUUGAGUCCGGAAGAGGUGAGUGGAACUGCGAGUGUAGAGGUGAAAUUCGUAGAUAUUCGCAAGAACACCAGUGGCGAAGGCGGCUCACUGGUCCGGUACUGACGCUGAGGCGCGAAAGCGUGGGGAGCAAACAGG